UAAAGGGUCGCGGCAUUAGGAAGGUUGAGAACCACUGCUCUAGACCCAAGGGCAUAGGGAAGGGCUGAGGGGAGGCAGUGCUGUGUGAGCCUUGAGGAGGAAGGAAACCUUUGUCCGAGCCAGGUGGGCUGCUGUGCCCUGGGGGCAUAGUAAAUGAGCCAGGCCUCAUUAUAGAUCCUCUAGGAUAGUGUUUCUAAUAACUGUGUGAGAUCCGGGCGUUCCUUGUGGAAAAGGAUUUGCUUUCUAAUAAGGCUGAUCUAGGCCACUAUCUCUUUCCCUGCCCCCCGCCCCCCAACUGCUGAUAAGGAAACAGAAACUUCAGUUGGUGAAGUGAAACAGACUUAUCCAAGAUUAUGCAAGCAGGUCUCUUUCUGCCUCUUUUAUGGAGUAAUUUAUUUGGAAGUACACUUUGAAGUUAUGUAUUAGUAUGUCCUUAUAGGAAUUCUUCUCUUUGUCUUCUUUGAAUUACCUUUAUCCAAUUCUGUUGAUGGCAAAAUAUAUCCUUAUUCAUUCAGGAAGGGGAUCCUAAUAACCCAUCAUAGGUUGCCCAUGGAACUGUGGCAAUUAAUAAUAGUGACCUUAGUCCAAAAAUAGCCAAUAAUGAUUGCCAAGCGUUUUUAGCCAAUGGCAUAUGCCUGAGGGAUGGUUGGAGAAGCAAAGACUUCAGUUUGGGUCAUAGAACAGAAUGAAUGAUGUAUUUAACUCUACAGCGGUGGUCUCAUUAGCAUCUUGCCUCACCAACAAACCAAGCACCAGACAGAACAUGCUUCAGCCUCCUACCCAGCAACCACCAAGAUGCUUUUGUGGGGCUUUGUGUUAACAGACACAAUUUAACUGCUCUGCAAGGUUCCGUGCACGGGUGCCACUUGCUUACAAAGCUAGAUGGGCUAUGUCAGCAGUUUCCAAUACCGGUGAUGUAGUUGGAAACAUUCCAUGAGAACACUAGCAGUUAACAUACACUGAGUGCUUGCUGCAUCCCAGGCGCUAUUCAAAACGACUCAAUAAGGUAGGUACUGCUGUUGUCCUGAUUGAGCAGAUGUUGAAAUGAGCAUAAAGAGCUGCUAGGUCUCACAUCCAAAAGCAGCAGCCCAUCAAUGGCAGAGUUGAGCCCAGAAAAUCUGGGUCCAGAAUCUGUGUUUUCAAAUUGUUAUGCUAUUCUGCCCUCUUCCCCACCCUUACUAUAUAGUUUGAUAUAGGGGAUAAUUACACAUCAGAACCGAGCUGUCUUUCUCCCAGUCUCCUGAAGGGCAUGUUUGUUUGCUUGUUUUUCCCUAUUAAGGUGUCAUCGGAUAACAACUUUUCUGGAUCCCAAGAGUCAGCAUCAGCUCUAAGAUUUGGGUUGCUGUGAAAAUUUUCUGACUGAAUACAGUGUUCCUGCGGGUUGGUAAAGAACCUGUAACUUCUUCAAGCAAUGUGUUUCUGGAAAGGAAUUAUCAUGGGAUCGCUCUGCUACUCUCCUUGGAGGUGUCUGUUACGUUGAAAGCCAUUAAGAUCCCGUUUGCCUAUCAUGUUGCAAACAAACGACACCUCGCCAUCCUCCGCCCUCCCGUCCCUCCAUGCUGCUGCUGGGAUUCUCGUCUCACCCCUCCUGUGCUUUAAUGACCCAGCAGCGCACACUUCUCUGACUUUGCUCUCGUGCGCAUAGUACAACCAGCAUUAAGAUGAAAAAUGCUUAGCAACCAGGAAGGCACAGGUGCUGAGCAAUCAGAAUGAACGCUGGCUGCAGGGAUGGAGCAAAGUCCAGGAGGCCCAGCCACGCCAGGCAUGCCCUCUUCCGGUGCUGGGUCGUGGCUACCAGAUUUGGGCCAGAGUCCUAAUGCCAGGGCCCAGGAGGUGAGAAGCUGGUGAGAUUUCCUGAGCCGCAAGGCUCCCCCACACUUGCUCUUCUCUCCCUGCCUGCUUACCGGAACUGAUCUGCAGUGAGGUCUCGGCGUGGAGAGGACAGUGAGAUCAAGGCAGCAUCAACAACCAAAAAGGCACAUGUUUUUUUUUAAUAUUUCAUGGAGAUUUAUAAAACUGACACGAGUGCUUCCACUUACAUCUGAUGUGACAAAUAAGCUAAUAUAAAUGCUCUUCUGAGAUUUGCAACAAGUAAAAGUGUAUGUCAAGUUAGCCUUGCAUUUGAAGGGCUCAUCAAAUUGUGGGCCCAUCUUGCCAAAUUGCCAACUCUUCAAUUUUUUUUUUUUAAUGUUUAAUAGAUCUACUUCAUCCAUCAUUGCUACGAAGCCUAAACACCUACCUCAGUCUUUGUCAACACCAAGAGGGCUGAAGGAGAGGGAAAAAAAAAAUCUAGUGA